rnacentral:rRNA from 1 species
UAGAGGAAGGAGAAGUCGUAACAAGGUUUCCGUAGGUGAACCUGCGGAAGGAUCAUUGUCGAAACCUCUGCCCAGCAGAACGACCCGCGAACAAGUUAACAUCACACGACGCGGGCCGUGCGUUGGUCCAUGGCACCCGCACGCUGCAGCGUCUGUCGUGAGGCCGACCGCUCGUCGGUCGCCCCCACGGCGCGAACAACAAAACCCCGGCGCAGGUCGCGCCAAGGAAAUAAAAAAGCGAAAGGCAAUGCCUCGUCUCCCCGGGAACGGAGCGCGGUCGGGGCAUUGACCUCCACAGUGAGAAUCUAAACGACUCUCGGCAACGGAUAUCUCGGCUCUCGCAUCGAUGAAGAACGUAGCGAAAUGCGAUACUUGGUGUGAAUUGCAGAAUCCCGUGAACCAUCGAGUCUUUGAACGCAAGUUGCGCCCGAAGCCAUCUGGCCAAGGGCACGUCUGCCUGGGUGUCACACAACUUUGCCCACCCCACCCCCGAAUUGAUGGGGUUGCGUUCGGUGGCGGAAGAUGGCCUCCCGCGUGCCCGGCAUCGCGGUUGGCCCAAAACCCAUGUCCCCGACGACGUUCGCCUCGACAACGGUGGUUGAGAGACCCUGGCACAGUGUCGUGCGGCCGCGUCGUCGCUCCGGACUCUGACGAACCCGACCCUUUCUCGCAUUGCGACCCCAGGUCAGCCGGGAUCACCCGCUGAGU